rnacentral:rRNA from 1 species
CUAAGAAUAUUCCGCAAUGGACGAAAGUCUGACGGAGCGACGCCGCGUGGAUGAAGAAGGCCGAAAGGUUGUAAAGUUCUUUUGUUGGGGAAGAAUAACCAUGGGAGGGAAUGCCCGUGGGAUGACAUGAACCGACGAAUAAGCCCCGGCUAACUACGUGCCAGCAGCCGCGGUAACACGUAGGGGGCGAGCGUUGUUCGGAAUUACUGGGCGUAAAGGGCAUGUAGGCGGUUUAGUAAGCUUGGCGUGAAAGACCACGGCUUAACUGUGGGGUUGCGUUGAGAACUGCUGAACUUGAGUUACGGAGAGGGAGCUAGAAUUCCUGGUGUAGGGGUGGAAUCUGUAGAGAUCAGGAAGAACACCGGUGGCGAAGGCGGCUUCCUGGUCCUGUACUGACACUGAAGCGCGAAAGUGUGGGGAGCAAACA